AGACUGCAACACUUUUGACCCAGCAAAUUACGUCCACACGUAUUGGCCAUGUUGGGGUAUCAUCUAACAAACCGAACACUCAGUUGUUUUGUGCCAACUUGCGUGGGAAAUGCCGUCGAUCGGUCACGAUCAACAAUCAACAAUCAGCGAUCAGCGAUCAACGAACUGCGAUCUGUGAUCUGUGAUCAAAGAGCCAAGACACAAACCAAUUGAAAGUACAUGCAAAUGCAAAGCUGA